UACGUAGGGAGCAAGCGUUGUUCGGAUUUACUGGGCGUAAAGGGCGCGUAGGCGGCGCGGUAAGUCACUUGUGAAAUCUCUGAGCUUAACUCAGAACGGCCAAGUGAUACUGCAGUGCUAGAGUGCAGAAGGGGCAAUCGGAAUUCUUGGUGUAGCGGUGAAAUGCGUAGAUAUCAAGAGGAACACCUGAGGUGAAGACGGGUUGCUGGGCUGACACUGACGCUGAGGCGCGAAAGCCAGGGGGAGCAAACGGGG
rnacentral:rRNA from 1 species